UCCUUACAAGUGAAAUCCUGAACAAAUAAAGAAAGGCCAGGGAAAAUAAUCUAGAUAAACCUUGGAUAUAGGACUCUACCUAAAGUAGACAGAUCUCUACAUAACCAGUUAUCAAAAAGCAAUUUUGUUUUCUUAACUUCCUCCACAGCAGACUUCAACCCGACAGUCAAAGCAGCAUUACGUCAUGAAAGUGUGGACUUGGAGGAAGACAGCAAGAGCUUAGGAUUCCAUUUGGGACAGAGACUAUAAAGACUCCAUUGCAGAAGUCAAUCAUAUUGCCAGAAGGCGGAGCUUAAUAUCAAGAUGUUGUCAGGUUGUCAGAAUUCAAAGGCAUCCAGUCUGAAUGAUACUGAAGACUUUCAGAUUCUUCUUCAGAUAUCUGCUGUCAUGAUUAUUUUCACUCUCCUCAGUUUUUUGUGGAUGUUUAUUGGCCACACAGAGGCAGAUGUAAUAAACUCCUCGUCAGAGGAUGAAAAUAAACUUGUUGGUGACACUAUUACUCUGUCCUGCAGUUACAAAGACUAUACGGGUACUGUGAAUAGCUUACAAUGCUACAGACAAUAUCCCAGAUCCAAACCGGAGUUCCUCCUUUACAUCUUCCCACAUGGAGCUAUGAGUGAAGGUAGACCAGAGAGAUUUUCUGCUGAAGUUCAUCAAGAUAUUAAAAAAGUGGAUCUGAAGAUCUCCUCUGCUGUUCAGGCAGAUUCUGCCAUGUACUAUUGUGCCCUGGUGCCCACAGUGACAGGAAAUAUAACUGCAUCAUACAAAAACCCUCCCAUGAUCCCAUCAUCAAAGAAAGACAAAGCUCUAAACACUUACUUCAUCCUGUCUCAAAUGCAUCAUCACCACUAUAGUCUGUCCUUUUGAUGAAACA